rnacentral:rRNA from 1 species
GACGAACGCUGGCGGCGUGCCUAAUACAUGCAAGUAGAACGCACAGUUUAUACCGUAGCUUGCUACACCAUAAACUGUGAGUUGCGAACGGGUGAGUAACGCGUAGGUAACCUGCCUGGUAGCGGGGGAUAACUAUUGGAAACGAUAGCUAAUACCGCAUAAUAUUGAUUAUUGCAUGAUAAUUGAUUGAACGAUGCUAUUGCAUCACUACCAGAUGGACCUGCGUUGUAUUAGCUAGUAGGUGAGGUAACGGCUCACCUAGGCGACGAUACAUAGCCGACCUGAGAGGGUGAUCGGCCACACUGGGAAUGAGACACGGCCCAGACUCCUACGGGAGGCAGCAGUAGGGAAUCUUCGGCAACAGACGAAAGUCUGACCGAGCAACGCCGCGUGAGUGAAGAAGGUUUUCGGAUCGUAAAGCUCUGUUGUAAGAGAAGAACGGGUGUGAGAGUGGAAAGUUCACACUGUGACGGUAUCUUACCAGAAAGGGACGGCUAACUACGUG